UUCUGGAGCACACAUAAUGGGUGGGGAUCGAAUGGCUCGACAAAAGCUGUAGCUUACAAAAGCUGUAGCUUUUGGAGCUCGGUAGAGAACAAGUGUGGAAGUGAAGAAACGAGCUAAGUCGUUUGGCUUCGUCUUAACGAUGAGGAAGGUGACGAUCGAGGCCAUCUGCGAGAUUUAUGCAAAAUUUAUGAGAGUAGAGACGGCUAGGAUAUUGAGGAUUCGAAUAGAGCCGGCAUAGAUUGAUACGAGUUAAUUUCAAGUAUUAUCGACGUUCUGAAUGCAACGGAGAAAUCUGUUUCGAAAUCAGACAUCAUUUGAGCAUCGUCGUGCGUCGUUUCGUGUGUUGGUCGCCGAUUUUGUCUAUUUUUACCUGAUUCAUCUACGAGGUGGUCCCUUUAAGGUGAAUUUGAUAUUAUGAUUGCAACAACGCAGUUUGUUUGACAAUCAGAGGUUGUUUAACCCUUCAAGUGACGAGCUGCGCCGACGCGCGUCACUUAAAUCGUUUAAUUUCCCUCUUUUCGCAUUUUUUUUGGUGAGGGGUCAAUAGUUACUGCUACUAUUAUUGUCACCCUUCCAGAGCUAUGAAAACUUCUUCCUUUCUUCUCUCAUUAACAAGAAAGUGCUUCUCCC